ensembl:lncRNA
AAGUUUUGUAAUCUUUUGUUAUAUUUUCCCCAGGUUGCUAUUGACACACAUGCCUCUGUAAUUACUUGGCUCAAACUUGUCUCCUUGUUUAAAGAUGGGUGUAAUUAGGCCUUGAUUCCAGGUGUCUGGAAAAUAUCCUACACUCAAAACAAAGUUGAAUAAUUUGGUUAUUGCAGUUUUGAAUUUGUCAUUUGUGUAUUUGAUCAUUUUGUUUAAUAUUCCGUCAAUGCCACAUGCCUUGUUGGGUUUUAGUACAUGUAGUCUGUCUGUUAGCUCAUUUACUGUGAUUGGUAAAUGCAGGGGAUUCUGAUUGUCUUAAAUUUUUUCUUUCAGGAUUUCUAAUUUGGUUUUUAUUUCAUUUCGAGCAGGAUUUGUUUCAGUUGUUUUGUACAGAUUUUCAAAGUGCGUCCUCCAUAUGUUCUCAUUUUGACUGGCCAGUUCUUCCUUUCGUGGUCUAUAGAGAGUGUUCCAGUGUUUCCAAAAGUUUUUGACUACAAACUUUCCAGUGAUGCCUGUGAGAUAUUCACUCAACAAGCUUGCGCAUCUGUGCUGCCAUGUGCUCAAUCCACUCAGUGCGCUCUGCUUAUCAACUUGUGCAUAUCCGCUAUACAGGAAAGAAGAAUAUCUGUGAAGUGAGACAACAGAUGACAUGAGCAUGUCUCCCCUAUAUCCCCAUUGUAGUCAAAAGAUGUUCUUACCAAAACAGCUGUAGUUGUUAGUUCACAAGCAUGAGAAGUGAAUAAAUCUUCUAAGCUGAGGUCA